GGUCCCAUAUUGAACUCGAGUUGGAAGAGGCGAGUCCGGUCUCAAAAUGGAGGUAAAACCGCCGCCCGGUCGCCCCCAGCCCGACUCCGGCCGUCGCCGCCGCCGCCGGGGGGAGGAGGGCCAUGAUCCAAAGGAACCAGAGCAGUUGAGAAAACUGUUUAUUGGUGGUCUGAGCUUUGAAACUACAGAUGAUAGUUUAACAUUUUGAGAAAUGGGGCACACUCACGGAUUGUGUGGUGAUGAGAGAUCCCCAAACAAAACGUUCCAGGGGCUUUGGUUUUGUUACUUACUCUUGUGUUGAGGAGGUGGAUGCAGCGAUGUGUGCUCGACCACACAAGGUUGAUGGGCGUGUAGUGGAACCAAAGAGAGCUGUAUCUAGAGAGGAUUCUGUAAAGCCUGGUGCCCAUCUAACAGUGAAGAAAAUUUUUGUUGGUGGUAUUAAAGAAGAUACAGAAGAAUAUAAUUUGAGAGACUACUUUGAAAAGUAUGGCAAGAUUGAAACCAUAGAAGUUAUGGAAGACAGGCAGAGUGGGAAAAAAAGAGGAUUUGCUUUUGUAACUUUUGAUGAUCAUGAUACAGUUGAUAAAAUUGUUGUUCAGAAAUACCACACUAUUAAUGGGCAUAAUUGUGAAGUGAAAAAGGCCCUUUCUAAACAAGAAAUGCAGUCUGCUGGAUCACAAAGAGGUCGUGGAGGUGGAUCUGGCAACUUUAUGGGUCGCGGAGGAAACUUUGGAGGUGGUGGGGGUAACUUUGGCCGCGGUGGAAACUUUGGUGGAAGAGGAGGCUAUGGUGGUGGAGGUGGCAGCAGAGGUAGUUAUGGAGGAGGUGAUGGUGGAUAUAAUGGAUUUGGAGGUGAUGGUGGCAACUAUGGUGGUGGUCCUGGCUAUAGCAGUAGAGGAGGCUAUGGUGGUGGAGGGCCAGGAUAUGGAAACCAAGGAGGCGGUGGAUAUGGCGGUGGCGGUGGUGGUGGAGGAGGAUAUGACGGUUACAAUGAAGGGAAUUUUGGCGGUAACUAUGGUGGUGGUGGGAACUACAAUGAUUUUGGAAAUUACAGUGGACAACAACAAUCAAAUUAUGGACCCAUGAAGGGGGGCAGUUUUGGUGGAAGAAGCUCGGGCAGUCCCUAUGGUGGUGGUUAUGGAUCUGGUGGUGGAAGUGGUGGAUAUGGUAGCAGAAGGUUCUAAAAACUCAGCAGAAAAGGGCUACAGUUCUUAGCAGGAGAGAGAGCGAGGAGUUGUCAGGAAAGCUGCAGGUUACUUUGAGACAGUCGUCCCAAAUGCAUUAGAGGAACUGUAAAAAUCUGCCACAGAAGGAACGAUGAUCCAUAGUCAGCAAAGUUACUGCAGCUUAAACAGGAAACCCUUCUUGUUCAGGACUGUCAUAGCCACAGUUUGCAAAAAGUGCAGCUAUUGAUUAAUGCAAUGUAGUGUCAAUUAGAUGUACAUUCCUGAGGUCUUUUAUCUGUUGUAGCUUUGUCUUUUUCUUUUUCUUUUCAUUACAUCAGGUAUAUUGCCCUGUAAAUUGUGGUAGUGGUACCAGGAAUAAAAAAUUAAGGAAUUUUUAACUUUUC